UGUGAGAGGAAGCAGGUGUGUGUUCCCUGCUGCCAUCUGAUUUAUUUCUCCGAGCUCCAGGAGCAGACACUCCAUCAGCCACCUAAGCAGGAAAUUGCCUUUCAGCAAAAGUUCUUCUUUAGUGUCAGCUUGAUUCACAGGAAGCUACUCCCCAUACAAAGAUCACAACACAUCCCAUCAGCUGGACAACCUCUAUGAAAAAGAGUACUCCUUUUACCAUAUAGGUCCAGCAAAAGCCCUGGGGUUGAUGUCCAUUGGCUCUGGUUGGACUAACUGAAGACAUGUGCCCACCGAUCCCCAGGGAUAGAUGGCUGUGGUUUAUAGGCCCACAUCCAAACCUCAUGAACCAAGAGAGGGAGGGGUGAGCUCCAAAAGUAAAUAAGGGUGCUGCUAGUUGCAGCAGGUGGAAUGGAAGCUGAAUGAUAAAAGUAAUGACCGUUCACCGUGGGUACCUGCAUAUUUGUAUAUGUACAUGUCUAUGCAACUUUAUAUAAUACUUUGAUGUCCCAACAGUAUCUAACAAUAUUGUCAUAAAUACCUGCCGUGCAAUUUUUGCCAAUGUUGCUAAAAAUCAGCACAGAACAUGUUAAACUCACAGGUAAGUUGAAGAAGUAACACAAUGAAUAUCCACAUGCCCUUCACCAAGAUCCCCUCACUGUUAACACUUUGUCCCACCUGUUACCUGUUUUUGUUCUGAACGACAAAGUAAAUUGCAGACCUCACGACACUUCAUCCCGGGAUAUCUCAGCUGGGAUCCAGGAAGAAAGUGUCCUAUUUAACAAUACCAUUAACACAUCCAAGAAACUUAACAUUGUGCAAAGAUAUUCCCUAAUAUCCAGUUCCUGUUCACAUUUUUCUGAGUCCAGAAAAUGUUCUUUGUAAGCUGUUUUGUAAGUUUUUUUCUGAUCCAGGAUCCAAUCCAAGAUUGCACCAGAUUAACCUAUCUCUUCAAUCCCUUUAAUCUAAAACAGCUCUCCCCUCCCCUUCAUUUGUCCUUUGUGCACUGAUUACAUAUAUGUAUAUAUAUAUUUUGUUUUUGGUGCACUGAUAUUUUGAAGAGUAUGGGCCAGUUACCUUUAGUAUGGAUUUGUCUGUUUCCUCAUGAUUGGAUUCAGGUUUAAUAUUUUGCGGAAGAAUACUGUAUCGGUGGUGUUAUGUCAUUGAGGCACGCAAUGUUGGUGAUGCUAUAUUUGAUCACUUGGUUAAAAUGGUUCCUCUCCAUCAUAAAGACAUAUUUCCCCCCUUUUUUGGUAAUAACUGUUUUGUGAGGUGGUACCUUGAGACCAUGGAAAUGUCCUAUCCCCCAACAGUGGUUUUUAAUUAAACGUACUGACAAU